GGACUAUGUCAUUAAAUCUUUGAGUAAUAUUCUUCCCUCUCUUUUUUUAUAGAUUUGGAGACCAGAGACUUGGUUCUUGACCAAACAGUGACAGGGAUUUUGGGGGAGGAGGUCUACUUGCGUUGUCUGUACACUGGACAGAGUAACAUCUUGUACUCCUCCUGGAACCGUUUUGAUUCUACAAAGAAGGCAAAGAAAAUGGCAGGCUAUAAAUCCAGUGCCAGUUUUUUCAACAGAGAAAACUUUGGCAUCCCGGCAUCAAUUACAAACCUUACUGUAAAGAUAAAUGUGACAAGUUUUGAUCAAGAGGGAGAAUACACUUGUGGCUUCGACUCUGAAGAGGAUGAAACAAAGGACACCAUGUUUCUCAGUGUUAUUGCUCGGCCUGAUGUUGACAUAACUGUGAAAGAGGAAGUUGUGAAUAGGACCCUCUACCAUGCUGUCACUUGCUCUGCCUCCGGUGCCAAGCCUGAGGCUGUGAUUAGAUGGGAGAUCUCUGGUGCCCUUCCAAGAGACGACAUCUUCUCUGUGAACAUGAUUAAUCCAGUUCAUCCCAAUGGCACAGCCAGUUCAAUCAGUGUACUUCGCUUCCCCCUAAUUAUGAAUAAUGAGAGCACUGUUACCUGUGUGGUUGAGCAUCCAGCUUUUACUGAACCCAAAAGAGCCAACAUAGAGGUGGACACAUUUGUUUAUCCUGUUAUAAGCAUGGAGACCUUCCUGGUCCAAGAAGAAGGAGAAGACUUUCAAGAGGUCAUCUGUACAGCAACAGGAGGGAGGCCACAUCCAAAUAUCACGUGGAUACUGCCUGAAUUCAAAAACAUGCCACCUUUAGAGAGAAAUGUCUCCAAACCAGAUUCAGUUAUCAGUUCAUAUAGGUUCCCAUCAGAUCCUUAUGAAGGAGAAAAUAUAUUUUGUGUCUUUAGCUACAUGUUUCUCCCAUUCAUAAACAAAAGGACAUUCACUUUGCCAAUUUACUACCUUUCCUCACUUCAGCUGAAGGACCUUGAUUAUGCCAUUAACCGUGAGAAUCAGACUUCACUGGCGCUUGUGGAGGGGGACACGGACAUUACAAUCAGGAUGGAUGUUUUGGGCAAUGUACCAAGUUAUAAAAUGAAAUGUUCCAGGGAAGACCAACCUCUCCCUGAGGAUGUGGAUGUGGUUGGCAGUGAUCUCUUUAUCAGAGGACCCAUACAGCUGCACCUUGUCGGACAAUAUCUCUGUCAGGCCUCUUACCGUAGACAUCAGGCUUCCUUGCAGUUCACAAUCAAAGUAAAUCCAAAAGUCCUACUGCCAGUGACAUUUCCCCCAAAUAUCAGUGUGAAUUUUGUAGAGAAUUCAGACUAUGUUCACAUUGAGUGUUUGGCCUCCAAUGCUGUUCCCGCUGCAAAUGUGUCCUGGAUUCUUCCACAAGAGAUUAAUAGUACAAUUCAUUCUGAAGACACACACUAUAAUGGAUCUUGUUCUGUCAGAAGUGUGUUGACUGUGCCUAGCUGCAUGACCCGUAAAUAUGCAGUUGAGUGCGUAGUCGACCAUCCUGACUUCAUGGAAAAAGAAAGGCGGCAGAUUCCUCUUCCUGUGUGUGCACCACCGAAUAUAACCCUGCAGUCUGGUGUUGAAUGGGACAAUGGCAUUAUAUACGCAUGGCUGGUGUGUUCAGUGCAGAGCCAGACCCCAGCAGCGGCCAUCACCUGGGCUGUAGAGCGCCAUGUCAUUGAUAUUAGCUCUAGUGAAUUUAUAAUGACUCAACCUGUGUUUCAGGAGAGUCAUAUGGUUGUUGCUCAGAGCACGGCGCGUAUUCCUAUUUACUCACAUGCCGGAUGCAGCGUGACCUGUGUGGUUGAGCAUCGAGGGUUAGAGAAACCAGAGAACAAAAGCAUUGUCCUCCCAUCCUUAGGGCCAUCUGCAAGCCGCGCAUUUCUGGGUGAAGAGAGAUACACUCAGAUUUGGCAUGCUGUGUGUGAGUACAGCGGUGAUGGGGUGGAACCCAACAUCUCCUGGGUCCUUCCUGAUGAAGACACUGUAACUCAGCCGACUACUGAGGUCAAAUAUAAUGGAAUUAAAGUAGAAGUCAAUUCAACUCAUGAAUUUCAACUCAGUCAGUAUGAGGGGAAAGAUUUAAUAUGUCUGAUCCAGAACAAGCUCGGCAGGGAUGAGAGACGGACAAUACGAGUUCCAAAAUACUCUAUCUCAUCUAUUGAGGUUUUAAACGAAACCACACUUGAUCGUAGAAGUCAUGGCCAGAAUGAGCAUCGUUUAGCAUUGCAAGAAAACCUCUCAAAUCAGAAGAUACUUCUCAGAGCCCAUGGCAAUGCUCCAUCAUACAAGACCAUAUGUUACAGGGAGGACGGGUCAGCAGCUGACACCGUGGGCAUGGCAUUGGUUUUUACAGAACCAGUGUCUGAACUGGAUGCAGGACUGUACAUAUGCCACGUCUCGUACCACCACCACAUGGCUAAAGUUUUCAUUCGGGUGGAUGUAACUAGUGAAGAGACUCAACACAUGAUAUUCAUCACUAUUUGCUUCUCGUCAGCCGCUGCAAUCACCCUCAUCUUGAUUAUCAUUUUGGUUGUCCUCUGCAAAAGUGGGAGAAGUCACUCAUCACAAAAGAAGAAAGACAGGAGAGAGCGUGAGUCUCUAGCUGCUCUAAUGCAGGACCCUCGCUGCCCAGACAAGACUGUGAUUCCAGGCACAGCUGGGCCGCACUAUGCUGAGCUUGUGCACUAUUCCAUUGUUUUUGAUGCUAAAAGCACCGUGUGACACACCUGUUGAAUUUUAUGACCGUAAUAUAUACGCUUUUGCACAUACUUGUGGAGUUCAUCACAGCUUGAGUGCAUUAAAAGGGGGACAUGUUUAAGAAAUUAAUUCAUUUUCAGUCAGAUUGUUAUGCUGAUAAUGUAACUGGUAAUGGAAAAAAGAAAAAGAACAUUUGCUGAAAGUUUACUCAACCUCAGGCCAUCCAAGGUUUUAGAUGAAUUGUUUCAUCUGAACAGAUUUGGAGAAAUUUAGUUUUACACCAAUGGAUCCUCUGCAGUGAAUGGGUGCCGUCAGAAUGAGAGUCCAGACAGCUGAUAAAAACAUCACAAUAAUCCACAAGUAAUCCACACAACUCCAGUCCAGUGAAAACCUGCGUGUUUGUAAUAAACACAUCCAUCAGGAUUCUCCAAAUCUGUUCCGAUGAAGAAACAACUCAUCUACAUUGGAUGGCCUGAGGGUGAGUACAUUUUAACCAAAUGUUUAAUUUUGGAUGAACUAUUCCUUUAAUAAGAAUAUUUCACUAGUGGUCUUGGACCCCACUGUAUAUACACAUUGCAAUUGGUGUUUUUGAUAUGUAGCUGUUCUUUUUCCUCAAUUACAAAUACCAAUUGUAAGGAAAAUGAAGUAGCUUGGUAUUACUUUCAGCAUUAUGAUUUACUUUGAUAAGUAGCAUUGUUUUAUAAAUAUUAUAAGCACAUUUCAAUGUUUUACUACUUUUUAGGAUUGUUCUGAUUUACACAGAUGUUCUGAUAUGUUCUUCUUUACACAGAGAUAUACUUUAAAAAUCUGGCUGGUGUCUUCUAUCUUGUUUUCAUUCCAAUUGAACUUGUAGCACACGAACUGACUGAAUUUGUAACGCUGUAGAGCGCUCUGGUGAUCAUAAAGUAAAUAGUGGGGGAAUCCACAUCUGGGCCUGGUGAGUCCAGUCUGAUAUUUUAGUUAUAAGAUUGUACUGUUUUCACAGUCUUUGUUACAACGACGUCUGAUCCUCCUUUGUGUUGCUCUAAGAUGUUUAGGCAUCUCCGGGGUAAAUAAUGUGACUGUGACACUUGUAAAAAUACAAUAAAAUUCUUGACAAGUUUAAAUACUUAUCAAAUCUGUUUGUUUACCAAGUAAACACUGUUUCUAACCAUAAA
ensembl:lncRNA uncharacterized LOC107592746